rnacentral:rRNA from 1 species
UAAGGAAUAUUGCUCAAUGGGAGAAAUCCUGAAGCAGCAACGCCGCGUGGAGGAUGAAGGGUCUAUGACUUGUAAACUCCUGUAAAGAAGGAAAAAAUUCCCAUUUGAUGGGAGAUGAUGGUACUUCUGGAGUAAGCCCCGGCUAACUACGUGCCAGCAGCCGCGGUAAUACGUAGGGGGCAAGCGUUGUCCGGAUUUACUGGGUGUAAAGGGUGAGUAGGCGGUUGUAUAAGUCAGAUGUAAAAGGCACAGGCUUAACUUGUGUAAGCAUUUGAAACUGUACAACUUGAGUGCAGGAGAGGUAAGUGGAAUUCCUAGUGUAGCGGUGAAAUGCGUAGAUAUUAGGAGGAACACCAGUGGCGAAGGCGACUUACUGAACUGUAACUGACGCUGAGUCACGAAAGCGUGGGUAGCAAACA